AACCCCUGUGAACAUACCACUUGUUGCCUCGGCGGAUCAGCCCGCUCCCGGUAAAACGGGACGGCCCGCCAGAGGACCCCUAAACUCUGUUUCUAUAUGUAACUUCUGAGUAAAACCAUAAAUAAAUCAAAACUUUCAACAACGGAUCUCUUGGUUCUGGCAUCGAUGAAGAACGCAGCAAAAUGCGAUAAGUAAUGUGAAUUGCAGAAUUCAGUGAAUCAUCGAAUCUUUGAACGCACAUUGCGCCCGCCAGUAUUCUGGCGGGCAUGCCUGUUCGAGCGUCAUUUCAACCCUCAAGCACAGCUUGGUGUUGGGACUCGCGUUAAUUCGCGUUCCUCAAAUUGAUUGGCGGUCACGUCGAGCUUCCAUAGCGUAGUAGUAAAACCCUCGUUACUGGUAAUCGUCGCGGCCACGCCGUUAAACCCCAACUUCUGAAUGUUGACCUCGGAUCAGGUAGGAAUACCCGCUGAACUUAAGCAUAUCAAUAAGCGGAGGA
rnacentral:rRNA from 18 species